AGAGUUUGAUCCUGGCUCAGAUUGAACGCUGGCGGCAUGCUUUACACAUGCAAGUCGACGGUAACAGGUUAAGCUGACGAGUGGCGAACGGGUGAGUAAUGCAUCGGAACGUGCCCGUCGUGGGGGAUAACGCAGCGAAAGCUGCGCUAAUACCGCAUACGAUCUGAGGAUGAAAGGGGGGACCGUAAGGCCUCGCGCGAUCGGAGCGGCCGAUGUCAGAUUAGGUAGUUGGUGGGUAAAGGCUCACCAAGCCAACGAUCUGUAGCUGGUCUGAGAGGACGACCAGCCACACUGGACUGAGACACGGCCCAGACUCCUACGGGAGGCAGCAGUGGGGAAUUUUGGACAAUGGGGAAAGCCUGAUCCAGCAAUGCCGCGUGCAGGAAGAAGGCCUUCGGGUUGUAAACUGCUUUGUACGGAGCGAAAAGGCUCUCUCUAAUACAGGGGGCUCAUGACGGUACCGUAAGAAUAGCACCGGCUAACUACGUGCCAGCAGCCGCGGUAA
rnacentral:rRNA from 1 species